UACGGGGGGGCAAGCGUUGUUCGGAAUUACUGGGCGUAAAGGGCUCGUAGGCGGCCAACUAAGUCGGACGUGAAAUCCCUCGGCUUAACCGGGGAACUGCGUCCGAUACUGGAUGGCUUGAGUUUGGGAGAGGGAUGCGGAAUUCCAGGUGUAGCGGUGAAAUGCGUAGAUAUCUGGAGGAACACCGGUGGCGAAGGCGGCAUCCUGGACCAACACUGACGCUGAGGAGCGAAAGCCAGGGGAGCAAAGCGGG
rnacentral:rRNA from 1 species